rnacentral:rRNA from 1 species
AUUGGCUGCCUUGCUGUUUAGGUUGCNCAUUGCUAACUGUGCCUGAUCUUGGAGCAGGAUUGGGCUUGGUUACUACUUGAAUGGGAGGCUAACUGGGAAGACCAAGCACUGCCAGCU